UUUUGAUGUAACGUUCCAAUAGUAUAGCUCAGACAUUUGAUAACCAUACAGGGUCUCAUUUAUCCCUUCAUUCCGUGUAAUUUGCUCGAACACAUCAUAACAUAUGGUACGGGACACGGACGGUAGAUGUCGCUGAUGGUUUGGCAACAUAUAUAACUACACGUUACAAAAAAAUUAAUUGCUUAAAAAAAUAUAAAGUAUUUUAUAUUACAUUUUUCCUUAUCUUUAGAGCUUUUUGUAUUCACUAAUUACUUCCCAUGAAGACUUAACUUGGUCUGAGCAGGUAAAGCAGGAAAAUGGGAGUUAUAAGACCAAGUGAGGCUUGACAUAUAGGUGCUUAACACAGUAGUAGAUAGCGAGUUAUUGAGUACAUAACAGGUAUGCUGUUUCUAAUCUUCAAGAAUUGAAUCUGAUGGAUUUGGGGAACUGUGAGGCGUCUUCUGACGGGUGGAUGGUGGGUGAUCCAUAUCCGUGGGUGUGAGUCCCGUGGCUACCCCUUCCCUGACAUUCAGUCACAAGCUAUUCCAUCCAACUGUGAGUAGCUGGGAUCUCUCAGGUCAAAUCACCGAGAAUACAAGUUGCAAUGCAAACACUUAAGUUAGGAUCGCAUUAAAAAGAAGCAACAAGAUUCGUUUGUAAAGAAAAAUAAUAAAAAAACAUUAAUGACGGUAAACCAAGAACAUUAACUGUUUCAUAAUACUUAGAGACGAAUAGAGAUGGUUUGAAAAAUAAGGUUUGCAUUAAAGAAAUAGUUAAUGGAAUAUUAAACAUACAAAAACUAUUGAUAAUAUUAUGUUGAAGUGAUCGUUGUGAAGGUUAGCCUAAUCAAACUACAUCCCACGCGUCUCCACUCGUCAUUCAUAUAUCAUAGUUGUGUUGAUACUAAUAUAUUUUGGUUAUUAAGAAACAAACUUGCAUCUCUUCGUUUGUAUUGUUGACUCAACCUCGUACUAAGAACAGCACUUUUGGGACAUAUUGUCAGUUGAGGUUCAACUAGUAUGGAGCAUGUUUAGCUGAGGCCAGACCUGCGAUCACAUCUCCUGUAUAAUGUUUCUGUACCCUCGUUUUCGUGAUGAUGGAGGGACAUUAUGGGCCUCUGUUCUGGGAUCCACAACACGGAUAUAAUAUUAAUAAAAAUUACAUCUCUAUUGUUCUUUUGAGCUUGAAGUAAUGAAUUACAUGUAAUUGUCGGGUGUCGAGCGUUUUGCGCCUUCUAGUAGUUU